rnacentral:rRNA from 1 species
CGUAUUAGCUAGUUGGUGAGAUAAUAGCUCACCAAGGCGAUGAUACGUAGCAGACCUGAGAGGGUAAUCUGCCACAAUGGGACUGAGACACGGCCCAUACUCCUACGGGAGGCAGCAGUAGGGAAUCUUCCACAAUGGACGAAAGUCUGAUGGAGCAACGCCGCGUGAGUGAAGAAGGGUUUCGGCUCGUAAUACUCUGUUGUUAGAGAAGAACGGCUGUGAGAGUAACUGCUCACAGUGCGACGGUAUCUAACCAGAAAGUCACGGCUAACUACGUGCCAGCAGCCGCGGUAAUACGUAGGUGGCAAACGUUGUCCGGAUUUAUUGGGCGUAAAGGGAGCGCAGGCGGUUUAUUAAGUCUGAUGUGAAAGCCUUCGGCUUAACCGGAGAAGUGCAUCGGAAACUGAUAAACUUGAGUGCAGAAAAGGAUAGUGGAACUUCAUGUGUAGCGGUGAAAUGCGUAGAUAUAUGAAGGAACACCAGUGGCGAAGGCGGCUAUCUGGUCUGUAACUGACGCCGAGGCUCGAAAGCAUGGGUAGCAAACAGGAUUAGAUACCCUGGUAGUCCAUGCCGUAAACGAUGAAUGCUAAGUGUUGGGAGGUUUCCGCCUCUCAGUGCCGCAGCUAACGCAUUAAGCAUUCCGCCUGGGGAGUACGACCGCAAGGUUGAAACUCAAAGGAAUUGACGGGGACCCGCACAAGCGGUGGAGCAUGUGGUUUAAUUCGAUGCUACGCGAAGAACCUUACCAGGACUUGACAUCUUCUGCCAAUCUAAGAGAUUAGACG